UUGUAAUAGCUACCAUCGUGAACAGAACGCCGUAUAAUAAAUAUUGUUAAUUAAAGCAUAAUCAGGUUAUCUAGUAUAAAAUCAAAUUUUCGUCUUUCUCCCAGUUUUCACAUUUUUCCGGUUGAAAUUUCGUGAAGUUACUACACACCAAUGUUUUGUAGAGAAUCGUACACUAAUCUCUGGCCUCUGAACUGUACUAUAAAUUACAGCAAGACGACCUCUGCGACCUCUUAACACUAUGGAUAUCUUUGAGGUUGUAGAAUAAAACCCGCCUUGGGCUCUAGUUCUUAAAGUUCAGCCAAUCCAAAGACUUUUCCAUGGUUUUAAAACUUCCACAUAUUGGCUUCUGAUUUGUAUUUUGCAGAGAAGAUAUGAAUUUUUUUUAGUGCGGAUGUAGAGACUGAAUUUUAUGAGAAACAGGUAUGUUUUCUAGCCAUCGAACCGAACAGAAUUUUGGAGGGAACUCAAAGGAACCAGAGAUGGAUAAGAGCAUUCCUUUUUCAUGUUUUAAACGAUUUACAACAAAAAUUACUCCAAAAGCUAUUGAAUAUUUAUUUUCGAAAGGCAAUACAUCUACCGAAAUGAAAGAUGAGUUGGAAACUGGUUAAGGAGACUCUGCACCAUCAUUAAGGACUGUAAAGCUUUGUGCGUUCGGGACGCCAAAAACUUCGACAACCAGCUAUAACAUAGAAAAAGUUGCUACUGGAAUACCAUCGGAUUAAUAUUAGAGGCUAUCGGUAUAUCAAAAGAACGUAUUUGCCAUUGACUCAAAAUGUCUUGUUUCUUUGUUAAAUCGGAAACUUUUCCGACAACUCUCCUACAUCGCAGACAACUAUAGAUAAAGCGAAAGACCACUAGGAUUUCAGCUUUUCUUACCGGUUAGAAAGUUUCUAAGCUAACACCCACGACAAGGGUGUAUAUCCAGCUAAGAGAAUCAAGAUGCGAAUUACGAUAAGUUCCUAUGGGACUAUCAAAGGGUGAUGGAAUGUCCCGUUUCGCAUUUAUCCAUAGACUUUGUCCAAGGGCGGAUGCUUAACGGGAUAAACUUUCUUAUCUACGUGUGUAGAAUCGUUCUCUAUUGCGCAGAAUCGUCAACGUACCAAGGACGGUUUUUGAUGGGUUGGAACGAACCUUAAGUGUAACGUAAAUCGUUAAAUGUAUGAGAUAUGUCAACUGAUACUUAAUAAUCGGGUUAACUGGAUCAAGAUCUAAAUGUUCGGAAACUAACCCGGAUCACGGUCAUUGUUGUUCGGAAACUGACUUAUCGCGUCGUAGUUAUCAUCCUUUCUACCCUGGUAGACUGGUGGGUAAAUACGAUCAGCUUAAGGGUUGUCCAUUUAUCUAUGGAUUAUCUAUUAAAAGUAAGUUUCAAACUUUCGUGCAAAAUCCGUAAGAGAGGGUAAAUCUUUCAUAACUGCUCAAUGACAAAUAUUAAACAUCUAGAAUCUAUUAAACAACUAAAUACAUAUCAUGGAAGAAUUGAACACACGAAAAAAUAAUAAAAAUGAAAAGUUCUUGUAUAUCAUGUUUUAAAUUUGAAAUUUCAACCAAAAAUUGAAUACGACGUUCGGAAACUGUGAUAUGAGGUUUGUUCUUGAUAGCUGCACUGGAACUGUACUAAACUGGACCAGUGCAGGCCAGUUCAUGAGUGUAUAAAACGACAUAGUGCAGAGAGCAAUAGAGCAUUUGAUGAUAAAGAACGCUUUAGUGUACACUUCCUGAACUAGUUCUGCCAGCUCAGCUACCAAGGACAAACCUCUAAAUCUCGUUCUGAGUUAGGAUCCGCAAACAGCUGAUAGGUGAUCUACCUGAACUCGGUUAUAGUUUCCGAAAAAUCCUUCUGUCAAAUUAUGUGACAUAAAUUUUUGACAUUUGAAAAAAAAUAAUUAUAACAUAAAUUUCAAUUCAUAUUGUGUCCAGCGUUAUUUUUUCUUUUUGAUAAUGCUCCUAGUAAGAAUUGAAACUUAAAGAAACUAAAAUAAAUCAAAGUUCAAAUAAAAUAUCAACCUACGAACUCAAUAAGAUCCAAUUAAAAAUAUUUAUACCCGAAAGGUUGAAGAAAACAAAUAAAUUUAUACAUUGCAAGCGCCUAAACUGCCUAAAUUGCGCCUAAGCUAAAAUAAUAACUUUAUUCCGCACCUUGUAUAUUACUUACACGUUUUAUAAUUCAUAAAACAUUACAUCUUAUCAGCUUUUUAUUUUAUUUCACAUACCCUUGAAUGAACCCCACUGCAAUAAAUUCACAAACCCGGCACUGGAACCAGCUGUCGACGUGAUCAGUAAGCGGCUAAACCACCCCUGUUACCGGCGUCUACUUUACUUUAUCGUCUAUUUAAUAUAUGGAUGAGUUUAAUAAA